rnacentral:rRNA from 1 species
UGGGGAAUUUUGGACAAUGGGGGAAACCCUGAUCCAGCCAUCCCGCGUGUGCGAUGAAGGCCUUCGGGUUGUAAAGCACUUUUGGCAGGAAAGAAACGUCAUGGGUUAAUACCCCGUGAAACUGACGGUACCUGCAGAAUAAGCACCGGCUAACUACGUGCCAGCAGCCGCGGUAAUACGUAGGGUGCAAGCGUUAAUCGGAAUUACUGGGCGUAAAGCGUGCGCAGGCGGUUCGGAAAGAAAGAUGUGAAAUCCCAGAGCUCAACUUUGGAACUGCAUUUUUAACUACCGGGCUAGAGUGUGUCAGAGGGAGGUGGAAUUCCGCGUGUAGCAGUGAAAUGCGUAGAUAUGCGGAUGAACACCGAUGGCGAAGGCAGCCUCCUGGGAUAACACUGACGCUCAUGCACGAAAGCGUGGGGAGCAAACAGG